AUCAGUUUUACUUUUCAUAGUUUCAAUAUUGCAAGAAUACGAAUACGUACGUAUCGGAGUACAUAUUAACCAAUAAUCAUCGCUGAGUAUCUAUUUUAGAGCGUAGCGAUAGGAAAAUAAUCAUUAAAAAAUAUGGCCAGUAAGAUAGGAAAAAAAAUCAAUGAAUACCAAAGAAGUUAAUCGAACAUUCCAUUCUUCAAAUUCACUUUCUACGUAUAGCAACUUUAGAUGUGUACGUUGUGUGUUUCUUGUUACGUCGCACUGUGACCGAAAGUGCAGAUUUUUUGCACUUUUCUUCGGGCGAAAACACCCCACUUUCAGACCAACUAAAGCACAGUGCAGGCUAUUUUGCUGAUUAUGUAAACAAGAGUUACUCCCUUGAAUAGUGAAGACCUUCCCAAAUAGCCAACGAAUAUCUAAAGUUAUUCAAAAUAGAUUGUUCAGAUGCAACUAGCCAUAAAUUGCUUGAAGACAACUAUAGAUAUCGCGCAGUAAAUCAAAUCAAAGAUAGACAAAUCACGAAUACAGAAAAUUUGCUUUUAAGGUCAAUAGAAUUAUCAUCAAAAUUUAGGUAGAUCACUGGAUGCUCCAUCCAGGUCUACGAUAUCCUCUCCAGAAGGCGUUUGAAGAAAUAAGGAAAAAUCAGGAAUGAAACCGUCGCAUUGUAUAAUAUUCUUCGAGACUGUCAGUCUGUCUCGCAAAUAUUAGACAUAUUGACACGGACGGCAUUCUACAAUUUGACCCAUUUGUAAUCUAAAGAUGAAGAACCUUGGAUAAUCGAUAUCAAGCAGGCUUAAGUACAACAAGUACAAGUCAAACCACCUCGGAAUCCUGAACGAAUUGUGCCAAAAUGAAAAUAAAAAAUUCAAAAAAUCUACAGUGGAAAAAAAAUUAAAAAGUAAUUGUGCGCCCAAAGUUUAUUAUUAUUAAUACCUAUACGAAAACGAUGUUGAUGAAUAUGAAGAUGCAAAUUUUCGAAGGAACUGUCCCGAUUCGAUUAGUUAUUGUGAUUUUUGUUAUAGAAUUUUAUAAAAUUGAUGAAAUAUAUAAUUUAAUAAGA